rnacentral:rRNA from 1 species
GACGAACGCUGGCGGCGUGCUUAACACAUGCAAGUCGAACGGUGAACCAGAGCUUGCUCUGGGGAUCAGUGGCGAACGGGUGAGUAACACGUGGGCAACCUGCCCCAGACUCUGGGAUAACCUCGGGAAACCGAUGCUAAUACCGGAUACGACCACUUCGGACAUCCGACGGUGGUGGAAAGUUUUUCGGUCUGGGAUGGGCCCGCGGCCUAUCAGCUAGUUGGUGGGGUAAUGGCCUACCAAGGCGACGACGGGUAGCCGGCCUGAGAGGGCGACCGGCCACACUGGAACUGAGACACGGUCCAGACUCCUACGGGAGGCAGCAGUGGGGAAUAUUGCACAAUGGGCGAAAGCCUGAUGCAGCGACGCCGCGUGAGGGGACGACGGGCCUUCGGGUUGUAAACCGUCUUUCAGCAGGGACGAAGCGAAAGUGACGUGUACCUGCAGAAGAAG